rnacentral:lncRNA from 1 species
GGGGAUUGCGCGGCUGAUGUUUAGAACGCCUAGUCAAACCAACCGGCUCGCUCUUGUUUCAGCAAACCCUGACUUACGUCUCCUAUUUGACUUGAGGCGGCACAGUGGCCAAGUCGAUUGGCCGUGGCAAGUGACCCUCCCGGUGGCUGAAGUGUUCUGAGGACUGGCGAGAGAGGCGCGCCAUGCUUGCACCCUGCUCAGGUUGGGAGCUUGGCUGCUUCCGUCUCUGUCUCCGUCAGGUCCGACUGUGGGCUGGCGCUGGGCGCUGGGCUUGCUGGGCUUGCCAAGCCAGGCCGUACAGCUCAGGUGGGGGCGAGCGCUGGCCCGGAUCGGAGACUGAGGUCCCUCCGCCUGGCCCGGCGCGCCGAACUCUGAAGGAGUGGACACUGCAGGUUUAGAUAUCAAGUCAUCAGGGUCUGGCUGUGUAAAAGUUCAAAGUAUUGAGUGUGAUAAUUGCAAAAUUGAAACAGAGCAUGGGACUAGCAUCUUGCAGUCUGUUAAGGUAAUAUAACAUUACAAAGCAAGAUGGGUAACAUCACAGUAGAUUCGUCUUCUGGAUGUCUAAAAGCCUCAACUAAUCAGGGUGCCAUAGAUGUUUAUGUCAGCCAACUGGGGAAAGUGAAAUUGAAAUCCCAUAAAGGUUCUAUUAUUGUCAAGGUCCCAUCUUCACUUCAAGCUCAUUUACAGUUAUCAGGGAAAGAGGUUGAUGUGAACUCAGAAGUCCAUGUUCAGGAAAUGGCUGAAGCUCGUAAAGAUGAUGUUGUAACAGUGAC